rnacentral:lncRNA from 1 species
CUCGGACUGCUUUCAAUUGACUCAACUGCCCUCUACGUGCGACUCUCUGCCUUUCAUGGAAACUACUCAACUACCAUGUGUUGCCCCUGUGUGAUCAUGUGCCUCCUCUGUGUAAAUCAUUCAACCAUUUAUCUAAUUCAAUUGCUGGCCCGCUAACCUAUUUCUUUUCUUUCCUUUUUUUUACCUUGAUAUGAAGAUUCAUUGUUCAAUAUAGCUGAAAAUUCAGUGCAGUUGCUCAGUCGCAAGAGACAAUACUAAUUGCGGGGAUGCAACGAAGAAAAUGAUGAGGUCUAAGUACAUGAAUUAUUUCAAUGUUCAGAACAAUGAAAAAUAUGUAAAAAUUAAUUAAAUAGCCUAAGUACCAUGAAAUUAGAAGAGUUCAGAUUCAAAUUUUAACGCUGGC